GUUGAAUCACCAAUUACCAUUUGAUCGUCAAAGUUAAGCAACACCGAGCCUAGUCAGUACCUAGAUGGGUGACCGCUUGGGAAUAUCAAGCAUUGUU